CCACGUGGUUUUCAGCCCUCGAGUCCCACCUCGAGGAUUCUGCAGAGAAGACGCGGCCGUCGCCGCCGCCGCUCGCUGAAUGCACCGCCCGACUCCUCCUCCUCAAGAUGCCACCGCCCGACGCCUCGACGCCGGUGUGCUCCUACGGCAUACCCCGGCUGUGUGAAGAACAUGCCUGAGAUACUGCUCAGGCUCAGCCACCGUCAGCACAAGCAGUACAUGAACUAGUUGAUUCAUUCUCAGACCAACAGCUGGAUGCUACAGAAAUAGAAGAACCGAUGCACCGUGGGAUCGAGAAACAAGCAAAGAACAGCACGAUCUUUAGCCCCAAGCAAGUUGGAGGCAGAUCAUACACGGAGAUGUUGGCGAACGAGGAAAGAUUGGUGGCUUUUUGCCGUUCUUCCUGGGAACACCUUUGGGGCCACACAUGUGGUUCCUUGGAAAACUACACGUUUGUGACUCCUAUACUCUAUGCAUACGGAACCAUCCCAGCACAUGCUGGACCCUGCGCCCUCUUGCAGAUCUUCUCCAUCAAAGUCAUGGAGAAUGAAGAGUGGAAAAUCAGGUGGCCAGUGGAGGUAUAUGGCUUCAUUGCUGCUCGAGACACUGUGGAUCACAAUCGCAACCUUCUGUUCAGCCGUACAAGGGAUGAUCCCCAAAUUCUCAUUCAACAGACACAUGCCAAGCUGGAAAUCUUUCUGGCUGCCUGCAUAUGGGUGGAGAAGGGAUGGGCGGUCGGUUGUUAAGUCGGUUACUUUGUUUCAUUUUCAAAUUCAAAAUACAGUAAUGUUUAUGGAAUAAAUACAUCCUACUCUAUCAACUGUUUAACAGUGUAUAAUUUCAACCAUGAACUGACAAAGUGCCUGCUGUGCAUCCUCUACCUAUUAAAGUGUGAACACAAAAACCGUAAUGCUGAAUCCACCCCAGUUUUAUCCAAGGUGGUGGUGCCUGUGUUGCUCAGACAUGGACACAUGUAUCUUACUAGGAUGAGUACUUCCAGGAUUCAUUUUUGAAGUUGACUGGCCCGUGUCGCCCGAUUGCUUUGAUCGACCCUGUUGACUUUGAAAUUCAACUGAAAGUGAAGGGCACAACAGAGUCUGAAGAUGAAACACUGAUGGCACGAUGGUUUGAAUAUUCCCAUGGUUUUGGAGAGUAUGGUGAGCUUGCCUGUCGUCGCUGGGACGGCAAUUUUUGCACACUAGAGAUCACCUCUGCGCUACUUGCCAGAACGGUUGUAGCAACUAUUAUCUCUGCUGAUAUUAUUGAAGGGUCAUGGCCUGAUGGUUAUAGAGGUCGUGUGGUUGCCCGUACUGCUGCCAUAGAUGAGGACAUUCUGCUGCUUGACUCUGGAGAAGGACCAUUGAAAGUGGAUCCAGACGGUCGUGUGACCCUUCAAAGAGGUGUUGUUUGCGUGGAACAUCAGGGGAUGCUCACGGUUUCUAUGGAAGCCUACUCAAAGGCAGAUAUUUGUUAUGCAGAUUGUGUUGAAUUCAGGCCCAAAAAGUCUCUCACAAGUAUUGGUAUUUGCGACCUUGGAUUCUGCACGGUGCAGUUCAUUGUUGGUUGGUCCCCAAUGGCAACGAAGUCUGAUCUGAUGUACUUUGGCAACUGAGUUGAAGUGCAUCUACUAUUUAGUGUUCCCUUCCCAGUGGUGUGUUUAAGAUGCAGAGCUAAUUAUGUCCAUUAACAAGACAUGCUUGGUCAAGUGUCCAAACUGUGGCUAUGUAAGUGUCCAGACUAUUUAUGAGUCAUGUUUGGCAAACUAUGGCUGAGCUUGGCUAACUGCUUAUAUGCACUAACUCCUUGCGGGUUUAUUGGUCGUUUCGCAGCGAUUUUUAAUAAUUUUUUAUGUGUAA